rnacentral:rRNA from 1 species
UGAGGAAUAUUGCGCAAUGGGGGAAACCCUGACGCAGCAACGCCGCGUGGGUGAAGAAGGCCUUCGGGUCGUAAAGCCCUUUCGGACGGGACGAACGCUCCGCGGUGACAACCCGCGGAGCCUGACGGUACCGUAAGAAGAAGCACCGGCUAACUCCGUGCCAGCAGCCGCGGUAAUACGGAGGGUGCAAGCGUUGUUCGGAAUUACUGGGCGUAAAGCGCGUGUAGGCGGCCUUGCAAGCCAGACGUGAAAGCCCUCGGCUUAACCGGGGAAGUGCGUCUGGAACUGCUCGGCUCGAGUACGGGAGAGGGAGGCGGAAUUCCCAGUGUAGAGGUGAAAUUCGUAGAUAUUGGGAGGAACACCGGUGGCGAAAGCGGCCUCCUGGACCGAUACUGACGCUGAGACGCGAAAGCGUGGGGAGCAAACAGGAUUAGAUACCCUGGUAGUCCACGCUGUAAACGAUGGGCACUAGGUGUGGGGGGUAUCCACUCCUCCCGUGCCGCAGCUAACGCACUAAGUGCCCCGCCUGGGGAGUACGGCCGCAAGGUUA